UAAUGCCUAGGAAUCUGCCUGGUAGUGGGGGACGAACGUUUCGAAAGGAACGCUAAUACCGCAUACGUCCUACGGGAGAAAGCAGGGACCUUCGGGCCUUGCGCUAUCAGAUGAGCCUAGGUCGGAUUAGCUAGUUGGUGAGGUAAUGGCUCACCAAGGCGACGAUCCGUAACUGGUCUGAGAGGAUGAUCAGUCACACUGGAACUGAGACACGGUCCAGACUCCUACGGGAGGCAGCAGCC
rnacentral:rRNA from 1 species